UGGGGAAUAUUGCACAAUGGGCGAAAGCCUGAUGCAGCAACGCCGCGUGAGGGACGACGGCCUUCGGGUUGUAAACCUCUUUUAGCAAGGAAGAAGCGAAAGUGACGGUACUUGCAGAAAAACGCGCCGGCUAACUACGUGCCAGCAGCCGCGGUAAUACGUAGGGCGCAAGCGUUAUCCGGAAUUAUUGGGCGUAAAGAGCUCGUAGGCGGUUUGUCGCGUCUGCUGUGAAAACCCGAGGCUCAACCUCGGGCCUGCAGUGGGUACGGGCAGACUAGAGUGCGGUAGGGGAGAUUGGAACUCCUGGUGUAGCGGUGGAAUGCGCAGAUAUCAGGAAGAACACCGAUGGCGAAGGCAGAUCUCUGGGCCGUAACUGACGCUGAGGAGCGAAAGGGUGGGGAGCAAACAGGCUUAGAUACCCUGGUAGUCCACCCGUAAACGUUGGGAACUAGUUGUGGGGUCCAUUCCACGGAUUCCGUGACGCAGCUAACGCAUUAAGUUCCCCGCCUGGGGAGUACGGCCGCAAGGCU
rnacentral:rRNA from 1 species